rnacentral:rRNA from 1 species
GAUGAACGCUGGCGGCGUGCCUAAUACAUGCAAGUCGAACGCAUAGCGAAAGGUGCUUGCACCUUUCACGUGAGUGGCGAACGGGUGAGUAACACGUGGACAACCUGCCUCAAGGCUGGGGAUAACAUUUGGAAACAGAUGCUAAUACCGAAUAAAACUUAGUGUCGCAUGACACAAAGUUAAAAGGCGCUUCGGCGUCACCUAGAGAUGGAUCCGCGGUGCAUUAGUUAGUUGGUGGGGUAAAGGCCUACCAAGACAAUGAUGCAUAGCCGAGUUGAGAGACUGAUCGGCCACAUUGGGACUGAGACACGGCCCAAACUCCUACGGGAGGCUGCAGUAGGGAAUCUUCCACAAAGGGCGAAAGCCUGAUGGAGCAACGCCGCGUGUGUGAUGAAGGCGUUCGGGUCGUAAAGCACUGUUGUAUGGGAAGAACAGCUAGAAUAGGAAAUGAUUUUAGUUUGACGGUACCAUACCAGAAAGGGACGGCUAAAUACGUG